GAGGGAGGAAAGGAAGGAUUUUUGGUUUCUAAUUCCCUGGCGAAGCUGCUGGCGUCCGCGCCCUUAACGCCACAGCCUUCCAAGUUGAGGCGAAAGCCACCUCCUCGGGCCUGCGUCGCAUCCAACUUACUCCAAGUUUUCUGGUGACUCCUACAGGGCCCCUUUCCGUCCCCGCCCCCCCCCCUUCCCCUGGAGAGAUUGACAGUCGCGUGGAGGAGGCUUUUCCAGGCACAGCCUUUCUCAUGGUAAUCAGCCCCCAGCAUCACCUCCCGGCUGCGGCCGCUCCCGCUCCUAGCGCAGCUCGCGGACCCCGGGGACCGGAAACAGGGCGGCGGGCGGGGAGCAGGCUAGCUAGCGACCCAGGCUCAACUCCGAAUGGAUUGGAUUGCAAGUUUGCACGUGAGAAAACCGUUUGGCUUGACUUGGACCCCUGCCGCCCCCCACCCCCUCCACACACACCCCAAUCCAGGGGUCUCCCUUAUCACCCUUUGCUUGCAACUCUAAAAGAAGUUGCCCACCUCCUGCGUAACAACACAGGGUUGAAAUAAUUCCUCUAGAUGAAAGAUCAAUUCCGUUUCAAAACGAGAAUACGUUCCUUUUUUAUUAUUAUUAUUUUCUCCACAUGGUACAAAAUAAACAAAAUUUGCUAUAAAAAA